UAACUAUACAAAGGUAUUGUAAUAAGAUUUUAAUUGAAUGCUAAAAGAAUGGAAGUUUAAAAAAAAACUUUUUUAAAAAUAAAAAUUAAAUUUUUUUUAAUCUGUGCAAAACCAAUUAUUUCUAUUAAAGACAAGAAGACCCUAUGAAUUUAUGAUUAAAUAAAUUAAAAAUUUUUAAUUUAUUUAAUCUUGAUUGGGGCAAUCAAAAAAUAUUAAUAACUUUUUUAAAUUUAAAUGAUCUAUUAUUAAUAAUCUAAUGAAAUAAAUACUCUAGGGAUAACAGCGUAAUAAUUUUUGAUAGAUCUUAUAGACAAAAUAGUUUGCGACCUCGAUGUUGGAUUAGGAUUCUUUUUUAAUGAAGAUGUUAAAACAAGAAGUUUGUUCAACUUUUAAACUCCUACUUGAUCUGA
rnacentral:rRNA from 1 species